GGUGGUGCUAUUGUGGAGAUCGUACACCCGAAAAUAGAGAGCUAGAUGGGAGUUGUUCUUAUAAAUGCGGAGGAAACCAAGAUCAGUAUUGUGGUGGACAGCAUACGCAAAGCUUCUAUGUAAACCGCAACUACAGUAAUGGAUAUCUUGGGUGCUUCAAUGACGAGGCUGAUUCAAUGUUCAAUGUGAAAAACACUUCAUCGACAUCCAUGACUGUGGAAAAAUGUAAAGAAUUUUGUCAGAAGGAAGAUGUCCCAUUCUAUGGACUACUAGCAGGCAUUGAAUGUGUCUGUAGAAAUUCACCGCUGCCGAGCGUCAAUAAGUCAGACGAAGACUGUCGAAUCAAAUGUAGUGGGUACGAGAAGGAUUUUUGUGGAGGAGACGGGAUGAUUGGUUUUCAUAAGAAUUCUUAUUAUGAAAAGGGUACUAAUUUAAAAACCUCCAUUGGUUCAAGGCUACACAUUCUACAUAAAUACA